GCAGAGCAAAGCAUCCUCAAAAGAAUCCUACCGCCAUUAAUGGCAUUCCCAGCCUUCUUCUUUUUCUUUGACCCAGCAAGCAAGAGCGUCUAGUCACCUCAACCACGAACUUGAAACCGCUGCUCUGCUGCUGCUGCUGCAACUGUUGCGCUUUGAGUGUGACUACAGUGUCUGCUACUCCUACUACUCUGCUUUGCCACUACUUGGUUCACAGGAGGGUGGCGAGAGGGAGAGUGUGAGGAGCUGAGAGAGGGAGAGGGAUUGGGAUGGAGUUCUUGGUGGCUCAAGCGCUCCUCCUCCUCGUCGUCGUCUCCAACUCCCUCCUCCUCCCUUCCUUGGGUCUUGCUGUUUCAGGUCAAGAAGCACACGAGGUGGCCAUGGCUGGCCUCCAUGAUCAGCAGCCGCCAUCUCCGGCAGCGGUGGCUGCGCGUGUAUCGGUCGCUCACGCGGACCUCCCCAUGGUGGCCUCCUCGGUUCUUGGGGCGGAGUCCUGGCUCAGGGCCCAUGUCCUGGCUCACUACCCCUCCAACCACGUCACCGCCAUCGCCGUCGCCGUCGCCUGCGCCCGCGGCGGAAGCCGCCAUGGCCAAGACCUCCGCGCCUCGCGCGCCGCCAAGAACCUGCACCACGCCCUCGUGCGCUGGGGCCUCGUCGACGAAAUCAAGAUCGACGCCUCCUCCGCCCCGUGCACCGAGGAGGUGGGAGGAGGGGCUCUGAAGCGGAGGCUGUACGGCAUGCACCACCUGCCGCCGCCGCUGCCGCCGACGUCGGUGGCGAGUCCGCCGCCGCCCGGCGUGCCGUUGUCCUUCGCGCCGAACGCGCCACCGGAGGUUGUCCCGUCGGUUCCGCCCGCCGCUGCGCCGCCGAGCACGCCCGUCGUCGUCGUGCCUGCGCCUGCUACAAGCCCACCCAUGUCAAUGCCGGCUACUCCGCCUGAGGCGGCGGCUGGCGGCAUGGCGCCGUGCUCGGCUCCACCGACGGCGGCGAUGUCGCCGCAGCCGUGGUCCGGUGAGGGAGGGAACGGUGGUGGGCAAUGGUGCGUGGCCAAGCCCACUGUCCCUCUGGACAGGUUGCAGGAGGCAAUGGAUUACGCCUGCAGCCAGGAUGGGGUGGAUUGCCAGGAGAUUUCGGGCGGGGGAAGCUGCUUCUACCCGGACAGCAUCGCGGCGCAUGCGUCGUAUGCGUUCAAUAGCUACUGGCAGAAGAUGAAGCAUAUUGGUGGGAGCUGCAGCUUUGGUGGUACUGCUGUGCUUAUCAAUUCUGACCCAAGUUAUCUCCAGUGUCGCUUCAUGAUGAGUUGAAAAAUGCUGAACUUGAAUCUUCUAUUUGGGUUCGUUGAGCGAAGCGAAGAUCUGGAUCUCUUGAUGGCCGAUGGUUGCAUUGUGCUGCGAAACAUCAAGUCUCAUUUUUUUUGCCCAUCCGGGGUCCUCUGUUAGGACGCCGAGCUGAUGUAGGAUUGCUAUAUGUUAAAAGUCAGAUUUGAUGCAUAGUUUCGUCUGAGAACUGUUAGAGCACAAUUUCUCUGCUUGGCUCAUGGUGGCCUGGAGGUACUCAGCAUCUUGCUGCUGGCCACAUGAUGAUUAUGUAAGGCAGAAAAGAUACCUCAAUUGGAACCUGCAUGCUGAUGUUAUGUCCAGUUUAUUCUGAAGUAUU
rnacentral:lncRNA from 1 species